rnacentral:rRNA from 1 species
UGUUGGGUUAAGUCCCGCAACGAGCGCAACCCCUGUGUUUAGUUGCCAGCAUGUAAUGGUGGGGACUCUAAACAGACUGCCUGUGCAAACAGAGAGGAAGGAGGGGACGACGUCAAGUCAUCAUGGCCCUUACGUCCGGGGCUACACACGUGCUACAAUGGGCAGUACAGAGGGCAGCUACUUUGCAAGAAGAUGCUAAUCUCAAAAAGCUGUUCACAGUUCGGAUAGAGGUCUGCAACUCGACCUCUUGAAGUUGGAUUCGCUAGUAAUCGCAGAUCAGCAAUGCUGCGGUGAAUACGUUCCCGGGCCUUGUACACACCGCCCGUCAAGCCAUGGAAGCUGGGAGUGCCUGAAGUCGGUAACCGUAAGGAGCUGCCUAGGGUAAAACUAGUAACUGGGGCUAAGUCGAAACAAGGUAGCCGUACCGGAAGGUGCGGCUGGAACAUCUCCUU